GUUCCUGUUUCACUGCCAUGUUUACUCCUACUAAUAGACUUUAGUGGCCGUGCUUGUGGGGUUGAGUAAAAUUGCCAUGAUCCGAAGAGGGACGGAUCUCUGUGUCCUGCUCCUGUACGGAAUGGCAGAAAAGGGAGGG